UUGAGCGCUGGCGGCAUGCCUUACACAUGCAAGUCGCACGGCAGCGCGGACUUCGGUCUGGCGGCGAGUGGCGAACGGGUGAGUAAUACAUCGGAACGUACCCUGUUGUGGGGGAUAACUAGUCGAAAGAUUAGCUAAUACCGCAUACGACCUGAGGGUGAAAGUGGGGGACCGCAAGGCCUCACGCAGCAGGAGCGGCCGAUGUCUGAUUAGCUAGUUGGUGGGGUAAAGGCCCACCAAGGCGACGAUCAGUAGCUGGUCUGAGAGGACGAUCAGCCACACUGGGACUGAGACACGGCCCAGACUCCUACGGGAGGCAGCAGUGGGGAAUUUUGGACAAUGGGGGCAACCCUGAUCCAGCAAUGCCGCGUGUGUGAAGAAGGCCUUCGGGUUGUAAAGCACUUUUGUCCGGAAAGAAAUCGCGCUGGUUAAUACCUGGCGUGGAUGACGGUACCGGAAGAAUAAGCACCGGCUAACUACGUG
rnacentral:rRNA from 1 species